UCCCGGUUGGCCCGGGCAGUCUCGCAUGAAAAAUACAACAUACGAUAAGGGUUGCGCUCGUUGCGGGACUUAACCCAACAUCUCACGACACGAGCUGACGACGGCCAUGCAGCACCUGUCACCUGGCUCCCGAGGGCACUCCCCUGUUUCCAGGGGAUUCCAGGGAUGUCAAGCCUCGGUAAGGUUCUACGCGUAGCUUCAUAUUAAACCACAUGAUCCUCUGCUUGUGCGGGUCCCCGUCAAUUCCUUUGAGUUUUAGCCUUGCGGCCGUACUUCCCAGGCGGCAUACUUAUCGCGUUAGCUUCGUCGCACAGGGGGUCGAUACCCCAUACGACUAGUAUGCAUCGUUUACGGCGUGGACUAC
rnacentral:misc_RNA from 1 species